rnacentral:rRNA from 1 species
CCCCUGGAACAGGGAGUGCCCUUCGGGAACCCGGUGACAGGUGCUGCAUGGCUGUCGUCAGCUCGUGUCGUGAGAUGUUGGGUUAAGUCCCGCAACGAGCGCAACCCUUGUCUUUAGUUGCCAUCAUUCAGUUGGGCACUCUAAAGAGACUGCCGGUGUCAAACCGGAGGAAGGUGGGGAUGACGUCAAGUCCUCAUGGCCUUUAUGACCAGGGCUACACACGUACUACAAUGGCCGGUACAAAGGGCAGCCACUUAGCGAUAAGGAGCCAAUCCCGUAAAGCCGGUCUCAGUCCGGAUUGGAGUCUGCAACUCGACUCCAUGAAGUUGGAAUCGCUAGUAAUCGCAGAUCAGCACGCUGCGGUGAAUACGUUCCCGGGCCUU